rnacentral:rRNA from 1 species
CGAACGCUGGCGGCAUGCCUAACACAUGCAAGUCGAACGCCCUCUUCGGAGGGAGUGGCGCACGGGUGAGUAACGCGUGGGAACCUGCCCCGAGGUACGGAAUAACGGCUGGAAACGGCCGCUAAUACCGUAUGUGUCCUGAGGGAGAAAGAUUUAUCGCCUUGGGAGGGGCCCGCGUCCGAUUAGCUAGUUGGUGGGGUAACGGCCUACCAAGGCAACGAUCGGUAGCUGGUCUGAGAGGAUGAUCAGCCACACUGGGACUGAGACACGGCCCAGACUCCUACGGGAGGCAGCAGUGGGGAAUAUUGGACAAUGGGGGCAACCCUGAUCCAGCAAUGCCGCGUGUGUGAAGAAGGCCUUAGGGUUGUAAAGCACUUUCGCCGAUGACGAUGAUGACGGUAGUCGGACAAGAAGCCCCGGCUAACUCCGUGCCAGCAGCCGCGGUAAU